rnacentral:rRNA from 1 species
AUGGCUCAGAUUGAACGCUGGCGGCAGGCUUAACACAUGCAAGUCGAGCGGUAACAGGGGAGCUUGCUCCUGCUGACGAGCGGCGGACGGGUGAGUAACGCGUAGGAAUCUACCUAGUAGAGGGGGACAACAUGUGGAAACGCAUGCUAAUACCGCAUACACCCUAAGGGGGAAAGGAGGGGACUCUUCGGAGCCUUCCGCUAUUAGAUGAGCCUGCGUGAGAUUAGCUAGUUGGUAGGGUAAAGGCCUACCAAGGCGACGAUCUCUAACUG